rnacentral:rRNA from 1 species
AUGACAAAAAGAUAUUGGAACAUUAAUUUGAAAGAGAUGAUAGAAGCAUGCCUUCAUUUUGGUCAUGGUAUUAAAAAUAGAAUCCUAAAAGGCCCUUACAUUUCGGCAAAGCGUAAAGGUACUCAUAUUAUAAAUCUUGCUAAAACGGCUCAUUUUUAUCAGAAGCUUGUGAUUUAG